rnacentral:rRNA from 1 species
UACGAAGGGGGCUAGCGUUGCUCGGAAUCACUGGGCGUAAAGGGUGCGUAGGCGGGGCUUUAAGUCAGGGGUGAAAUCCUGGAGCUCAACUCCAGAACUGCCUUUGAUACUGAGGAUCUUGAGUCCGGGAGAGGUGAGUGGAACUGCGAGUGUAGAGGUGAAAUUCGUAGAUAUUCGCAAGAACACCAGUGGCGAAGGCGGCUCACUGGCCCGGUACUGACGCUGAGGCACGAAAGCGUGGGGAGCAAACAGG